AACGAACGCUGGCGGCAUGCCUAACACAUGCAAGUCGAACGAAGCCUUCGGGCUUAGUGGCGCACGGGUGCGUAACGCGUGGGAAUCUGCCCCUCGGUUCGGAAUAACAGUUAGAAAUGACUGCUAAUACCGGAUGAUGACGAAAGUCCAAAGAUUUAUCGCCGAGGGAUGAGCCCGCGUAGGAUUAGCUUGUUGGUGGGGUAAUGGCCCACCAAGGCGACGAUCCUUAGCUGGUCUGAGAGGAUGAUCAGCCACACUGGGACUGAGACACGGCCCAGACUCCUACGGGAGGCAGCAGUGGGGAAUAUUGGACAAUGGGCGAAAGCCUGAUCCAGCAAUGCCGCGUGAGUGAUGAAGGCCUUAGGGUUGUAAAGCUCUUUUACCAGGGAUGAUAAUGACAGUACCUGGAGAAUAAGCUCCGGCUAACUCCGUG
rnacentral:rRNA from 1 species